AAGACGAACCGUCCUAACGUUGUUCGGAAUCACUGGGCUUAAAGGGCGCGUAGGCGGGCUCUCAAGUCCGGGGUGAAAUCUUUCGGCUCAACCGGAAAAUAGCCUUGGAUACUGUGAGUCUCGAGCGAGGUAGGGGCGGGUGGAACUUCCGGUGGAGCGGUGAAAUGCGUUGAUAUCGGAAGGAACGCCGGUGGCGAAAGCGACCCGCUGGACCUCUUCUGACGCUGAGGCGCGAAAGCCAGGGGAGCAAACGGGA
rnacentral:rRNA from 1 species